rnacentral:rRNA from 1 species
AUUGAACGCUGGCGGCGGGCUUAACACAUGCAAGUCGAGCGGGGUGAUGGUGCUUGCACUAUCACUUAGCGGCGGACGGGUGAGUAAUGCUUAGGAAUCUGCCUAUUAGUGGGGGACAACAUCUCGAAAGGGAUGCUAAUACCGCAUACGUCCUACGGGAGAAAGCAGGGGAUCACUUGUGACCUUGCGCUAAUAGAUGAGCCUAAGUCGGAUUAGCUAGUUGGUGGGGUAAAGGCCUACCAAGGCGACGAUCUGUAGCGGGUCUGAGAGGAUGAACCGCCACACUGGGACUGAGAAACGGCCCAGACUCCUACGGGAGGCAGCAGUGGGGAAUAUUGGACAAUGGGGGGAACCCUGAUCCAGCCAUGCCGCGUGUGUGAAGAAGGCCUUAUGGUUGUAAAGCACUUUAAGCGAGGAGGAGGCUCUUUUGGUUAAUACCCAAGAUGAGUGGACGUUACUCGCAGAAUAAGCACCGGCUAACUCUGUGCCAGCCGCCGCCGUAA